UACGUAGGGGCCUAGCGUUGUCCGGAAUUAUUGGGCGUAAAGAGCUCGUAGGCGGUUCGGCAAGUCGGAUGUGAAAUCUCCACGCUUAACGUGGAGGGGCCAUUCGAAACUGCUGUGACUCGAGUCCGGUAGGGGAGUGUGGAAUUCCCGGUGUAGCGGUGAAAUGCGCAGAUAUCAGGAGGAACACCGAUUGCGAAGGCAGCUCGCUGGGACGUUACUGACGCUGAGACGCGAAAGCGUGGGGAGCAAACAGG
rnacentral:rRNA from 1 species